AAUCAACGCUGGCGGCGUGCCUCAGACAUGCAAGUCGAACGCGAAAGUCCCCUUCGGGGGACAAGUAGGGUGGCGCACGGGUGAGUAACACGUAGGUAAUCUACCUUCGGAUGGGGAAUAACAACCGGAAACGGUUGCUAAUACCGCAUAAUGCAGCGGCACCUAAUGGUGACAGUUGUUAAAGCGGGGGAUCGAAAGACCUCGCGUCUGAAGAGGAGCCUGCGGCGGAUUAGCUAGUUGGAAGGUAAUGGCUUACCAAGGCUACGAUCGGUAGCCGGCCUGAGAGGGCGGACGGCCACACUGGGACUGAGACACGGCCCAGACUCCUACGGGAGCAGCAGUGGGGAAUUGUUCGCAAUGGGCNCAAGCCUGACGACGCAACGCCGCGUGGAGGAUGAAGGUCUUCGGAUUGUAAGCUCCUGUUGCCCGGGACAAUAGCUCCGACCUAACACGUCGGAGUCUGACGGUACCGGGUGAGGAACGCCCCGGNUAACUCUGU
rnacentral:rRNA from 1 species